UGUCUGCUGUGUAAUGGCCUAGGAUGCGGCUGCUGCUCAUACCUUCCUAUGGAAGCUGCUGCUCUGAAGCACCUUCAGGAGGCUCCAGGAUGUGGGUCAGAUCCUUGGCACGGAUGGGUUCUGCCAUUUUGGCUUUUGUGGUGUAAUUCCUUAGGAGCGAUAUGUGAUCACACAGCGUAACAAAUAUGCAACCCAAGGAAUAUUUUUAGCAGUGCUAAUGUGGAACACCACCUUAAAGAAACCUACAAUUUCUGUAACAGCCAUAAUUAAUGGCUGCAAGCCAAGAUAAGUCUAAAUAUUUGAGGAAAUUUGACCGCAAAACUGCAUGCGGAGGAGUGAAUGCAUACCAAAUUGUUCUGGGGAACAGAAAUUCCUUUCUGAAGUAAUGUGAACUUGGGGUGACUUCUUACUCUUUGUGUAAUGAAGAGAAAAUGGUUCAUUUUGGCUCUUUAACAGAUGCCUCCUUCAAAGCAUAGCAAGAAAAAGGGAAAAAAAGAUGAUUUUCAGUGAAGCCUGAUUUGUUUAGGAGGCACAACUGAGCACUGGGAUAAAGCAUUUAGCUGUUUAAAUGCUGAGAGUGAUGGAAUCAAACUCACUUCUCACCCACUGCCUGUUUGGUGAGCGCUGUUUGGGAAAAAAACCUCUUUCUGUGGUUGUUCUGUAUCUGAAACUGCACAUGUGCAUGUCAGAUAUUUUGCAUCUAUUUUAGAGCAGGUUAUUUGAUUUGAACCAGCUGAAGAAAUUUUUCUCCUACGAAGCUAAGCACGUUGCUAUAGCUACAGAGCUGGUUGGUUUGAGGUUUUUUUCAUCAGUUUCUAAAUGUAAUUGUUGAAGACGAC
rnacentral:lncRNA from 1 species